GAUCGACGCUAAAAGCGUCGUAUUGGGAUCCCUCUAUUUUGUUAGGGCGUGCGGGCAACUCGCCCUCUACAGCUAGCCCAAGCAAACUUUGCACGAACGGUGUGAGUAUUACGUCUUUUGUAACGUUGUGUAAUUUUAAGAUUUUAGUCCUUUUUGCAGUGCGAAUUGUUUGUUUAUAGCAGCUUCCCUUUGAGUUCAUUCCUUGUGAACAUUGCAGUUGCGAUUCAUGGCGGAUCGCAGGCUUAUAGGCUGGCUUGUUGGUUUCAUGGGGGACGGAGUAGACGCCAUUAGUAGAAACAGCAUAAAGAAAAACGUGUGUCAAAGUAAUGGUGCCCUUCAGCCUGGCUAACAAACUACAAAAGAGGCCGUUACUGUAUGCAAAACACUUCCCAAUUGGAACUGGAGUCAGGGAACCGGCCGGGAUUGUGACUGGUAUUUGUUUGUACGACUUUUACUUGUGCCGAUGGACUAGUCCAUGUCCUUAUCCAUCCACCUGUAGCCCAUCCAUUUUGUCUGGAUGACGUAAGCUUACCGGAUCUUCGCACUUGGUCUGUACAGCCAUUGGUAUUCACGGGGGGUGUUUUAAAUUAUUUUUAGAAGUAGUAUUCAGAUUAGUUGGUUCUUGAAUAGUUCCUUGAGAUUUUUAAACACUUUGUGAAUUAUUCUUUUGAUUUUGUAAGGGCGGCCAGCCCGUGGUAAGUCAACUAGUGGCACAGACACAAACUACGACCGCAUAUCCCGACGUCAUGUCCCUCUUUUGUGGUUAAAUAUCAGACCAAUCUUACUUUGUCCCUCCACCGCUGAAUUUUCAAACACUAAUCUGUUAACACAUCUUACUUCGUGACCUCGUGAUGAACUGUCGCGGUUCAUAUUCAGUGAGCGGUAUCUAGUUCCGAGCCCACUGCAGUUCCAGUAGGAUAGUGAUUCACUGACUAUUCGGGGAUUUUACUCAGUGCCAAGAAUUUCCUAGCUCGUAAAGCCAGCAUGACCAUCUAAUGUAUAACUUGGCGGUUGUCCUUUUGUUAUGCAACCGAACACUCAUCAGCGGACAGUCAGACAUCAGACUCUAUGGUGAUGGGCCCGGUUUGUAUUGCACAACUGACUUGUGUACUUUACAUGCAUUUUGGAUUUUUUUUUUCAGCCAAACCAAGAUGGCCUCCACAUUUGUAGGCGGGACUUUGGCUCGGUUUUUCUCGCGAGUGCAGAUCAAACAUAGACGUGUCUUUUCCAUGUUUGAUCUCACGCGGAGUACACUGCCCAAGGAAAACGCCGGCCAGCCUCCGUUCUUUUGUCACUCUUUUUACCAGCAGGAGACUUUGUCGAAGGCUUCUGCCAAGCUUUACUGCACACAGUCAUCACAAUUCUUCACUGUUCCACCGCAGCCACUAACCUGUGAGGCGGCACCAGCUGACCCUGGCAAGAAUGGCUGCAAGAUACUAACCAACGUGGAGGUGGACACCAAGAAGAAGCAACUCCUUGUUUCCUGGGAAGGUGGUGCUGAGAGUCAGACCUUUCCAUUCGUCUGGCUGCGAGACCAUUGCCACUGUCCAGAAUGUUUCCAUCCAGCUGCCCUGUCCCGUUUGCCCAGCGCGCAGGUAGUCAACGCUGACGUAGCCGCCGAAUCCGCUGAAAUAUCUGCCGACGGGAGGAAGCUAAGUGUCCAAUGGGAUGACGACCACCAGAGCCAAUUUUCAACGGAUUGGCUGAGGUUCUAUCGCUUUGAAGAGUCUGGGGACGACCAGCUGCUCGAUCCCAAGUUAAGUUUCUGGGGCGCUAGCGCCACACCACAUUUCUCAGAUUUUGGUGAGUUGCUUGCAGACGACCGGGCCCUCUACGUGUGGCUGGUGGAGCUGGUAAUUCGUGGGAUGGCUGUAGUAAGAGAAAGUCCAGCUGAGGUUGGUCAGUUGCAAAAGCUUGCCAAACGAGUGGCUUAUCUUCAACCAACAUGUUUCGGAAAUACUUUUCAGGUCAAGAAUAAAUAUGGUACAACCAACAUCGGAUACACAACUGGUGCUUUAAAGUUGCACAACGACUUGACGUACUACUUGCGGCAACCCGGGAUCAUAAUGCUGCACUGCAUCGAGCAGGCCGAAGGGGAAGGAGGCGAAAACCUCAUUUCGGACGGCUUCAAGGUCGCCAUGGAUCUGAAGGAAAUUGACCCGGAAGCAUUUCGUCUCCUGACGACCUACUCGUUUGAAUAUUCGGACAAGGGAAUAGACUGCUUUGGACGUUAUUACACGCACACCAGGCGUCCAGUUAUCAAGUGGGUGUUCUCUUCUUACUUUCAGAUGAUAAAAUGUACGUCGAGAGAUAAGCCUCCACCGCAAACCUGAGGAAAACAUGACAAGGUUUUGCUUGUUCGGCUUGUCCUUUUGUUCAAAAGUUCCCUUGCUACAACGGGAUUGUUCUUGCACUGUCUUGUUCCUUCAAUCAUAGCGUAUGUGCCAUCCCUCGAUGCUGGUGGCACUCACACAAAUGCUGCUUAGUACGAGUGGCCUGUGGUCUUUGGUCGUUUUGCUGGCACGGGGACCGUGGCAUAACCGUGCAAAGGCUAUCGGAGAUUCCGUUCCCGUACAGACCCGCCUUCUCGGACAGUAUAUUCGGAAUGACUGACCGCCCGGCCCAGAUAUCCUGUCACCCUCUUUCCGAUACUUUUUCCGGGAGACAGAACAGGUAGUUGAUAAUUCGUCCUUCUUUUGGUUAAACGAACGUGGCAACAUCGAGACAAUUGCCAUCAGUAAUCACAGCCGGGACCCCAUGCUCCGAGUUCCCGUUGACCAGGUGCUGCCUA
rnacentral:misc_RNA from 1 species